GAUGAACGCUGGCGGCGUGCCUAAUACAUGCAAGUCGAGCGAACGGACGAGAAGCUUGCUUCUCUGAUGUUAGCGGCGGACGGGUGAGUAACACGUGGAUAACCUACCUAUAAGACUGGGAUAACUUCGGGAAACCGUAGCUAAUACCGGAUAAUAUUUUGAACCGCAUGGUUCAAAAGUGAAAGACGGUCUUGCUGUCACUUAUAGAUGGAUCCGCGCUGCAUUAGCUAGUUGGUAAGGUAACGGCUUACCAAGGCAACGAUGCAUAGCCGACCUGAGAGGGUGAUCGGCCACACUGGAACUGAGACACGGUCCAGACUCCUACGGGAGGCAGCAGUAGGGAAUCUUCCGCAAUGGGCGAAAGCCUGACGGAGCAACGCCGCGUGAGUGAUGAAGGUCUUCGGAUCGUAAAACUCUGUUAUUAGGGAAGAACAUAUGUGUAAGUAACUGUGCACAUCUUGACGGUACCUAAUCAGAAAGCCACGGCUAACUACGUGCCAGCAGCCGCGGUAAUACGUAGGUGGCAAGCGUUAUCCGGAAUUAUUGGGCGUAAAGCGCGCGUAGGCGGUUUUUUAAGUCUGAUGUGAAAGCCCACGGCUCAACCGUGGAGGGUCAUUGGAAACUGGAAAACUUGAGUGCAGAAGAGGAAAGUGGAAUUCCAUGUGUAGCGGUGAAAUGCGCAGAGAUAUGGAGGAACACCAGUGGCGAAGGCGACUUUCUGGUCUGUAACUGACGCUGAUGUGCGAAAGCGUGGGGAUCAAACAGGAUUAGAUACCCUGGUAGUCCACGCCGUAAACGAUGAGUGCUAAGUGUUAGGGGGUUUCCGCCCCUUAGUGCUGCAGCUAACGCAUUAAGCACUCCGCCUGGGGAGUACGACCGCAAGGUUGAAACUCAAAGGAAUUGACGGGGACCCGCACAAGCGGUGGAGCAUGUGGUUUAAUUCGAAGCAACGCGAAGAACCUUACCAAAUCUUGACAUCCUUUGACAACUCUAGAGAUAGAGCCUUCCCCUUCGGGGGACAAAGUGACAGGUGGUGCAUGGUUGUCGUCAGCUCGUGUCGUGAGAUGUUGGGUUAAGUCCCGCAACGAGCGCAACCCUUAAGCUUAGUUGCCAUCAUUAAGUUGGGCACUCUAAGUUGACUGCCGGUGACAAACCGGAGGAAGGUGGGGAUGACGUCAAAUCAUCAUGCCCCUUAUGAUUUGGGCUACACACGUGCUACAAUGGACAAUACAAAGGGCAGCGAGACCGCGAGGUCAAGCAAAUCCCAUAAAGUUGUUCUCAGUUCGGAUUGUAGUCUGCAACUCGACUACAUGAAGCUGGAAUCGCUAGUAAUCGUAGAUCAGCAUGCUACGGUGAAUACGUUCCCGGGUCU
rnacentral:rRNA from 1 species